AGUGAACGCUGGCGGUAGGCCUAACACAUGCAAGUCGAACGGCAGCACAGUAAGAGCUUGCUCUUACGGGUGGCGAGUGGCGGACGGGUGAGGAAUACAUCGGAAUCUACUUUUUCGUGGGGGAUAACGUAGGGAAACUUACGCUAAUACCGCAUAUGACCUACGGGUGAAAUCAGGGGAUCUUCGGACCUUGCGCGAUUGAAUGAGCCGAUGUCGGAUUAGCUAGUUGGCGGGGUAAAGGCCCACCAAGGCGACGAUCCGUAGCUGGUCUGAGAGGAUGAUCAGCCACACUGGAACUGAGACACGGUCCAGACUCCUACGGGAGGCAGCAGUGGGGAAUAUUGGGCAAUGGGCGCAAGCCUGAUCCAGCCAUACCGCGUGGGUGAAGAAGGCCUUCGGGUUGUAAAGCCCUUUUGUUGGGAAAGAAAAGCAGCAGGUUAAUACCCCGCUGUUCUGACGGUACCCAAAGAACAAGCACCGGCUAACUUCGUG
rnacentral:rRNA from 1 species